rnacentral:rRNA from 1 species
UUUAUGGAGAGUUUGAUCCUGGCUCAGGAUGAACGCUGGCGGCGUGCCUAAUACAUGCAAGUCGAGCGAACGGACGAGAAGCUUGCUUCUCUGAUGUUAGCGGCGGACGGGUGAGUAACACGUGGAUAACCUACCUAUAAGACUGGGAUAACUUCGGGAAACCGGAGCUAAUACCGGAUAAUAUUUUGAACCGCAUGGUUCAAAAGUAAAAGACGGUCUUGCUGUCACUUAUAGAUGGAUCCGCGCUGCAUUAGCUAGUUGGUAAGGUAACGGCUUACCAAGGCAACGAUGCAUAGCCGACCUGAGAGGGUGAUCGGCCACACUGGAACUGAGACACGGUCCAGACUCCUACGGGAGGCAGCAGUAGGGAAUCUUCCGCAAUGGGCGAAAGCCUGACGGAGCAACGCCGCGUGAGUGAUGAAGGUCUUCGGAUCGUAAAACUCUGUUAUUAGGGAAGAACAUAUGUGUAAGUAACUGUGCACAU